rnacentral:tRNA from 1 species
AGAUCCAUGGCGCAAUGGUAGCGUGUCUGACUCCAGAUUAGAAGGUUAUGUGUUUGAUUCACGUCAGGUUCA